rnacentral:rRNA from 1 species
CAUAGGUUAAUGAGGCGAACCGGGGGAACUGAAACAUCUAAGUACCCCGAGGAAAAGAAAUCAACCGAGAUUCCCCCAGUAGCGGCGAGCGAACGGGGAGGAGCCCAGAGCCUGAAUCAGUGUGUGUGUUAGUGGAAGCGUCUGGAAAGGCGCGCGAUACAGGGUGACAGCCCCGUACACAAAAAUGCACAUGCUGUGAGCUCGAUGAGUAGGGCGGGACACGUGGUAUCCUGUCUGAAUAUGGGGGGACCAUCCUCCAAGGCUAAAUACUCCUGACUGACCGAUAGUGAACCAGUACCGUGAGGGAAAGGCGAAAAGAACCCCGGCGAGGGGAGUGAAAAAGAACCUGAAACCGUGUACGUACAAGCAGUGGGAGCACGCUUAGGCGUGUGACUGCGUACCUUUUGUAUAAUGGGUCAGCGACUUAUAUUCUGUAGCAAGGUUAACCGAAUAGGGGAGCCGAAGGGAAACCGAGUCUUAACUGGGCGUUAAGUUGCAGGGUAUAGACCCGAAACCCGGUGAUCUAGCCAUGGGCAGGUUGAAGGUUGGGUAACACUAACUGGAGGACCGAACCGACUAAUGUUGAAAAAUUAGCGGAUGACUUGUGGCUGGGGGUGAAAGGCCAAUCAAACCGGGAGAUAGCUGGUUCUCCCCGAAAGCUAUUUAGGUAGCGCCUCGUGAAUUCAUCUCCGGGGGUAGAGCACUGUUUCGGCAAGGGGGUCAUCCCGACUUACCAACCCGAUGCAAACUGCGAAUACCGGAGAAUGUUAUCACGGGAGA